CAAAAUAAGGCUCAGAUAUUCAUUCUAGCUGGUCCGGGCUGAUCCUAUAUGGGAGAGUUUUCUGCACACAGAAGUUCAGCCCUUUCUGGUCACUUUGAAUGGAUCCUGCUCGUUUGCAUAUAACCAUGCCCACUCAGUUCCUUGUCCCCUGUCAUGGAGACAAAGAGAAACUUGGAAGAAGAAACAGAGAGCACACGGUGGGCGGGAACACGUCCUGCACUGGGAUUUCUUAUCAUUUUAACUAUGCAAAGGCUUCCGAUAUAGAAGUCAUUCAUCGUCGCUGUUGUCAACAUCAUCACCAUCGUCAUCAUCAUCGAAAGAGCUAAUAUU